AUUGAACGCUGGCGGCAGGCCUAACACAUGCAAGUCGAACGAGUGGCGGACGGGUGAGUAAUGUCUGGGAAACUGCCUGCUCGAGGGGGAUAACUCCUGGAAACGGUAGCUAAUACCACAUACCAUCAGAUGUGCCCAUAUGGGCUUAGCUUGUGGGUGGGGGAACGGCUCACCAAGGCGACGAUCCCUAGCUGGUCUGAGAGUAUGACCAGCCACACUGGAACGGAGACACGGUCCAGACUCCUACGGGUGUCAGCAGUGGUGAAUAUUGCACAAGGGGCGCAAGCCUGAUGCAGCCAUGCCGCGUGUAUGAAGAAGGCCUUAGGGUUGUAAAGUACUUUCAGCGGUGAGGCGUUACCCGCAGAAGAAGCACCGGCUAACUCCGUGCCAGCAGCCGCGGUAAUUC
rnacentral:rRNA from 1 species